AUUUUCUCCCUUCCCUGCCAAUCCCUUUUAAAGAAGUCUCUGAGCAGAAACAAAGGCUUACUGUCCACCACCAUUUACUAUGUCACUUCUUUUCACAUAUUUCUGUGCUGUUUUUGUCACGUCUGCAGUUAUUCCAUUUUUCCCUGUUAUUCUCCAUCCUUUCACUCUUCUGAACUUCACUGUAUUCCUCUACAAAUCACCUUUUUGUUUUUAAGCUCCUGUCUGCCUCUCAACGUUUCUGCAUUUUUUGUUACCAUAUUUCUAUGGAGCAUCUUUGUUCUCACUGUAUAUCUUAAGUCCAGUUUCUUCAGCAGUUUCCUUCAUCUCACUGCUGCUGGACUUCCUACAUCUUGUCCCCACUGUGUCAUUUUCAGUCACAAAUGGAAGGCUGAGCUGCAAGGCUGCAAGAACCCUAGACUUCCACACAGAAGUGCUGUAGCCAAAUACAGAUGUCCAAUUCCAGAUGAGGCAGUGAACUGAGCACUGAUGGCCUUGGCUCUUGAAGAGGAAUAUCCUGUGUUUUAGCCUCACUGCAGGACUUCAGCUCUAACACCCUGGUGUAUCUACAGUUCAGGACUAGGAGCAGGUGAGGAUGCAGCUAAGUUUGUGCCUCAUACUUAUCAGAGAGACUUCUCCAAGAGUCACUAGAUUUGAAGUUUUUCAGAAAAACAAGGAUCACACUGUUGGAGUCAGUGCUGUGAACAUAAAUUCUCACCAAGCACUAUGUAAAUAUUAAAAGUAAAUUAAUUUAUAUAGCACUCUAAAUACUAUAUAAAUUCAACCUCGAAUGAAAGUCCCAUCCCAAAGAUUUAUAAAGAACUUGUACAUUUUAGACUGGGGGAAAAAAACCCAUCCCUCCUUUUUAAGUAAAGGGAAAAGCCUAACUCAGAAUUGUCUUGUUAUUUACUCCUGUAUUCAUAUUGCACAUUAAAAUACUUACAUAAAAUGUGCCAGUUUUCAAAAGCAACUUGUUACUCUGUUUUUCAACUGAACUUGGCCAGACUAAAAAAAGAAUUAUAUAUGCCAGAGGACUGCAGUAAAAGAGAUUUAAGGGUUUUCAAAGAGUGUAAGAAAGAGACUAUAGUAAGUGACCAGUGGAACAGUCAGCAAUUUUAAUUAAAACAGGGCUGCUUAUUGAUCUGUCAUACAGAUUUACCCCAUCUGCAAUAUUUCAGCAAUGUUCCUAUUUCAGAAAACAGCACUUGUAAGAGCCAGUAAAGAAUAUGGAAGUUAAGAAUGGAAAUGUUUUGUAACUGGGACAUUCUGUGCUAAGAUCUUUUUCUAUCCCAUUUAAGCAGUUCGCGUAUCUUCACACAAAAAUGAAAGCAAAUGUAGGGAAUCUAUAGGAUAGUCUACCCUCGUCUAGUGGAAGGUGUCCCUGCCCAUGGCAGGGGUCUGGGACGAGAUGAGCUUUUCCAACCCAAACCAUUCUGUGAUUUCCAUGAUAUUGCUUUUGUAACUUAAUGUCAAUGGGUUCACUGCACAUCAGUGUGAAAAAAAAUCCAUCAAGUCUAAAAUAUAUUGGUAUUUUUAAAGAUCUUAUGUUCUUGAAACAAGUGGGAUCUCUAGUGGUUGUGUCUUCAAGGUGGUCAUUUGUCAUCCCUGAGCUGACUGACCUACAUUUCCAUUGGGAAAACCAAGGAAAGUACUAAAAAGGGGCUAAUAAAUGCUCUGCACACACAUGGAGGGUCUGUGGU
ensembl:lncRNA